UCAGAGUAUGCUCGUAAGUUCCUAGAGCUGGGCCGAUACUCCCCGGAGACAUUGAUGGAUGAGGGCAAAAAGGCCAGGAGAUUCCAGUCGGGUCUCCGCCCAGAGAUCAGGCAACACCUGGUAGUACUGGAGCUCAAGACAUAUUCAGCAGUCCUAGCAAAGGCACAGAUCGUAAAAAGAAGCUUCAGCACCCUUCCUCAGCCAGGAGGGAGUUCACGACCCUCAACUCCGUUCC
rnacentral:lncRNA from 1 species